AAUAGCUCUUCCUUUCAAAAUAAUUUCAACUGAUAAAUGUAGAAGAAUGAGGGAAAUAGAAAAUUAUCAUUAGUACACCACAGCAACAAUUACUUGCUAAAAUUAAUAGGCAAAAGUUUGAGGAGAAACUGCUUAUUUUCAUUGCCUCAAAGAGUCUCCCCCAAGAUCUUUAUUAGUUAGAAAGGGGAAAACAGUAACGUUAUAGGGGGGAAACUGCUGACAUCACCUGAGCCAAGGUAGCACUGUUAGCAAUAGAUACAUGCAAUGUAUCUUAUUAGUAUCAUGUAUCCCUUGAUGUUCUGCACUGAGAAGGAUACAUCAGUUCUGUGGUAUUCUUGCUAAAAUACAUGACCUUCAUCCAGUCAUGAGAGGACACAUCAAGAAACUCAAACAGAGAUAAUCUACAAAGUAACUGACCAGGACUCUUUCAAGGUCAUAAAAGACAAGGAGCCACAGAACACAGAUUGGAGGAGACUGGGGACACAGAAAAACUAAAUGCGCAACGGACCAGAUCCUGGAACAUUAAAAGGAUAUCCGUGGAAGAGCUGGUGAAAUCCAAGUGCGUUCCGUAGUUCAGCCUUUGACAUCUUCAGAGUGGGAGCUGGGAGAGGGACAAGAGGUAAGAAUCAGCAAAGCACUAAUCUGACAGGAAACCAUUCCCCAUGGAGGACUCCUUCCCAAGAUGGCUCUUGGCCAGCUCUCUUCCGUUCUCUCGGAGGCAUUCACAUUGCUGCUCAUUCCAAGGUGUAAGAACAGAAAGACCCCAGAAAGGAUUUUGCCUGCUGGACCGGGCCUACAUGUUCCAGUGUCCUUCUCUUCUCACCGUGCAACAACAAAAUACGUUUAAAAGCUGGUUUCCAAAGUCGAUUUUUACCAGGAUCUUAGAGCUGCCCCGUGAGUUCUUCUUUCAAUGCAACCUUCCCUCUCCAAACCGAGUAGCAUCAGCAAACCUAGCUGUGUGAGGCAAGGGCAAUGUUGGCAUCAUAAUGAAGAUUCCCAGGAGAAGAUAUACUGAGCAGAGUGUCCCUCUCUUGCUUCGUCUCACUGGAGGUUUAGAAGAGUCCCU